CGCUAGUAAUCGCGGAUCAGAAUGCCGCGGUGAAUACGUUCCCGGGUCUUGUACACACCGCCCGUCACACCAUGGGAGUCGGAAAUGCCCGAAGUCAGUGACCCAACCGUAAGGAGGGAGCUGCCGAAGGUGGAGCCGGUAACUGGGGUGAAGUCGUAACAAGGUAUC
rnacentral:rRNA from 1 species